GAGUUUGAUCCUGGCUCAGGACGAACGCUGGCGGCGUGCUUAACACAUGCAAGUGGAGCGACGAACCGGGCUUCGGCCCGGGGCAGAGCCGCGAACGGGUGAGUAACACGUGGGUAACCUGCCCCGAUGACUGGGACAACCCGAGGAAACUCGGGCUAAUACCGGAUGUGCUCCUUUCACAUCAGUGAAUUGAGUAAAGAUAGCUUCGGCCUUCGCAUCGGGAUGGGCCCGCGGCCCAUUAGCUUGUUGGUGAGGUAACGGCUCACCAAGGCCGCGAUGGGUAGCUGGUCUGAGAGGACGAUCAGCCACACUGGGACUGAGACACGGCCCAGACUCCUACGGGAGGCAGCAGUGGGGAAUCUUGCGCAAUGCGCGAAAGCGUGACGCAGCAACGCCGCGUGGGUGAAGAAGGCCUUCGGGUUGUAAAGCCCUUUCAGGAGGGACGAAGGUCCGGUCGUUAAUAGCGGUCCGGGCUGACGGUACCUUCACAAGAAGCCCCGGCUAACUACGUGCCAGCAGCCGCGGUA
rnacentral:rRNA from 1 species